AGUCGUGUGGCUCAGUGGUAGAGCACUUUCCUGGCAUGUGUGAGGCCCUGGGUUCGAUUCUCAGCAUGACAU
rnacentral:tRNA from 1 species